rnacentral:tRNA from 1 species
CGUUUAGCUCAGCGGGAGAGCGCUUCCCUGACACGGAAGAGGUCACUGGUUCAAUCCCAGUAUCGCGCACAA